rnacentral:rRNA from 1 species
UACGUAGGGUGCAGGCGUUAAUCGGAAUUACUGGGCGUAAAGCGUGCGCAGGCGGUUUGCUAAGACAGGUGUGAAAUCCCCGGGCUUAACCUGGGAACUGCGCUUGUUACUGGCAGGCUUGAGUGUGGCAGAGGGGGGGUGGAAUUCCACGUGUAGCAGUGAAAUGCGUAGAGAUGUGGAGGAACACCGAUGGCGAAGGCAGCCCCC